rnacentral:rRNA from 1 species
AUUGAACGCUGGCGGCAGGCCUAACACAUGCAAGUCGAACGAGUGGCGGACGGGUGAGUAAUGUCUGGGAAACUGCCCGAUGGAGGGGGAUAACUACUGGAAACGGUAGCUAAUACCGCAUACCAUCGGAUGUGCCCAGAGGGGAUUCGCUCGUAGGUGGGGUAACGGCUCACCUAGGCGACGAUCCCUAGCUGGUCUGAGAGGUUGACCAGCAACACUGGAACUGUGACACGGUCCAGACUCUUACGGGAGGCAGCAGUGGGGAAUAUUGCACAAUGGGCGCAAGCCUGAUGCAGCCAUGCCGCGUGUAUGAAGAAGGCCUUCGGGUUGUAAAGUACUUUCAGCGAGGAGGCGUUACUCGCAGAAGAAGCACCGGCUAACUCCGUGCCAGCAGCCGCGGUAAUUC